ACUUUAGAGAUGAAGAUUACAUCGUCAACCACUUAUCAGGCGGUCAAUAAAAAGCGACUAAAAUAAAGCAGAGAGGAAGAUGGUGGGGAGGUAGCGACCAAAAAAAAGCAGAGAGGAGGACGGUGGGAGAGGGUAGCGACCAAAAAAAAGCAGAGAGGAGGGCGGCGGCAGGGGUCGGCGGGACGAGGCAACAACGAGGGAGGCGGACGGAGCGGGGACUAGGGGGUUCGCUCGGAGGCAGGAGGAGAGGUUGGGGCCGGAGGUGAGGUGGCGCGUGGUGGCCGCUGCUGAGGAGAGGGUCCGGCGCCUAGGUGGGCUCGUCGGCUCCGUCGCCAGUCUAGGCGGGCGGAAGGAAGUGAGGGAUAAGCGCGACCUUUGGGAUCGGCGGACUGGUACGGCUUGCUGGCGGCCGUGCUCCUUAGACGACGAGGUCCCUGCGGCGGGCGGUGGCGGCGGCGGUACUUAGGGGCCCCUGCGGCGGCGGUGGCGGCGCCUAGGGGUUCCCACACCAGCGAAACGGGACUAACCUCCUCUGCACGACCGGAACGGAACAAACCUCCUGCUUGUGUCCUUUCACCUUCCUCACUACUUCUUGAUUUUGUAUCAAUGUCACCCGCAAAAAAUAUCCUUGUUUUGACUUCUUAAACUGUAAUUGUAUUAAAAUCAUAAUUUAAUCCACAGGGACCAAAACAAUCGUAGUCCUGUACAACUGGAUUAACAGGUACCAAUGUGAGUAGAAGUUUGCCGUGUUGAACAAAACGACGUGUAGAAGAGAAUGGUAUACUACUUUUGUCUUGCUGCCGCGGCUGCACCUACUGAGCCUCGAGUUGGAAUAGUUCCCGGCGCUCGUCGCCACUGAAAGAAAAGGUGCCCUUCUACCGGUUCCCGCGGUAGUCGGUGAAACAACAGCGGCAGCUUCUCAGGUUCGAGCACAGGCGUAGCCAACGUAACCACGGUUAGUCUAUCCCUUUAUACCUGUAACCUAUAGGUAAAGAAUCCACAGUUAGACCACGAAUCCGAUAUAUUAUCAUGUACCGCCUCAAGAAGGUCGAUGAUUAAGUCCAAUAGACUAAAUAUCCAAACCUCUACCACCGGACACUCCUCCUAAAGUCCCCUCUAGCACACACUUAUAUUGUUUUCCAACUCUAAACUGGACGUGACAUACUCUUUUCGUCCAAGUCCUCGAGGUUCGAUUGUUAACGGUCUCGAAAGUUUUCUACAUUCUAAAGAUGAAAGAUCCAAGAGAGUGUUUUAAACAACAUAGGACAAUAAAACAUACCGUCAGCCCAAACAACGUUUUACUCGAUAUCUGGAUAACAAGUUAAAACAAACUAUAUCUUAUUAUAAAACGACAAGACCUACCUAAAAUCCUUACGAAAAAAAUACACCCUCGCUAGAAAAACUAAGUCAGAGACAUCACUAUAGCCUCUCCGUGAUGUGAAAACUGUAGACGGCUCUUUAUCAGUAAAUUUGGACGUCCAAAAAAUGUUAAUUUCACUUGUAUGACACUACCACAGUAAAAAAAAUUUGUAGCUUCUCCUUAAAGUCCUUCCGUGGGGAAAGAAGAAGUCUCCGGUCGCAUAAACCCUUCGUCAGUAAUCCCUUGAAAAUAGUUCUUCAUCGGAAGGAUGUUUUUUUUCCCGUCAACUAAGAAAUCUUCAUAAACCUCGUUGGUUUUAACUUCACUCUUGUGCUAUGAAGUGACCACACAGGUAUGUAUACAGAUAUAUAUGUCACCUUGAGGUUCACUCAUGCUUAGUUUACUUACUACGGGGUUCUCGAGCCCACGUAAAGUUUUACAAGAUAAGGAGGGUGUAAGUCGGUUGACCUCAUAGGACGAGAGGGAAGAUCUCCAAGAUGUCAAGUUAGCGAUAAAAUGUUUAGUCGUUGCGUUCCCGCUUCCUCCGUCAACAGUGGCUGACGCCCCGGCCUACACAGCCUGCGCGCGUGAGCGGGCGUCAGUUGCGUCUGUAUGAAUCGCUGGCAGGUACCGCUGCUCGCCGAGGCCCCACACCGAUGCCCCAACCCACCAAGUUCGCCGGUGAAGACGUCGAUGUACCCUAAAGAAGUCCUGGUAGUCGUCUUAACAAGUCCUUCGUAUGGCUCGUCCGGUAUAUAAGUUGUUUGGAGACAUUGCUACGUGAGACAGAAAAGAACUUGUGCGUGGUCCAUGUAGAGUUUUGGUAAAAGACAUUAGCACCUUGGUUCAAACCUCGACUUUACAAAGGUCAAUAGGUCUCUGUUUUUUUCCCGUCUUAACUCACAUGCACGAACAUUGAUACUCGGAAGAAGACAUAUUUCUACAUGUGAUGUGUGUGUAUAAUAUGUUAAAUAAUCUUCUGUUAAGAAGAUGAGUGAAACGUGGAGCGGCGAAAAAAUCCUUCUAACAUUAGACAUAACUAGAAAACGUGUGUAGUAUUAAAAGAGAUGGC
rnacentral:rRNA from 1 species